CACACCGCCCGUCACACCAUGGGAGUUGGUUGCUCCAGAAGCAGGUAGUCUAACCGCAAGGGGGACGCUUGCCACGGAGUGGUCAAUGACUGGGGUGAAGUCGUAAACAAGGUACC
rnacentral:rRNA from 1 species